UCGUCCAUUCUCUCCUCCUCCUCUUCCUCCUCCUCCUCUCUGUCUAUCUUCAUCCCUUCCUUCCUUUUAAUAAGUCCAAGUUAUCUUUUGCGUGACGUUCUUUCUGAUGGUCAAAUUUUGCAUGUCAUUUCCUGUCGUCCAUUCUCUCCUCCUCCUCCUCCUCCUCCUCUCUGUCUAUCUUCAUCCCUUCCUUCCUUUUAGUAAGUCUUAAGUUAUCUUUUGCGUGAUGUUCUUUCUAGUGGUUAAAUCUUACAUGUCAUUUCCUUUCGUUCAUUCUCUCUCCUCCUCCUCCUGUCUAUCUUCAUCCCUUCCUUUCUUUUAAUAAGUCCAAGUUAUCUUUUGCUUGAGAUUCUUUCUAGUGUGUUUGUGGUGCCCGGCUCUGGUCAUCAGUUUGUUUCGUCGCUGUAUAAUUGUCAGUCCUAGUUUGUUUUGUCACUGUAUAAUUGUCAGUCCUAGUUUGUUUUGUCACUGUAUAAUUGUCAGUCCUAGUUAGUUUUGUCACUGUAUAAUUGUCAGUCCUAGUUUGUUUUGUCACUGUAUAAUUGUCAGUCCUAGUUUGUAUUGUUACUGUAUAAUUGUCAGUCCUAGUUUGUUUUGUCACUGUAUAAUUGUCAGUCCUAGUUUGUUUUGUCACUGUAUAAUUGUCAGUCCUAGUUUGUUUUGUCACUGUAUAAUUGUCAGUCCUAGUUUGUUUUGUCACUGUAUAAUUGUCAGUCCUAGUUUGUUUUGUCACUGUAUAAUUGUCAGUCCUAGUUUGUUUUGUCACUGUAUAAUUGUCAGUCCUAGUUUGUUUUGUCCCUGUAUAAUUGUCAGUCCUAGUUUGUUUUGUCACUGUAUAAUUGUCAGUCCUAGUUUGUUUUGUCACUGUAUAAUUGUCAGUCCUAGUUUGUAUUGUCACUGUAUAAUUGUCAGUCCUAGUUUGUUUUGUCACUGUAUAAUUGUCAGUCCUAGUUUGUAUUGUCACUGUAUAAUUGUCAGUCCUAGUUUGUUUUGUCACUGUAUAAUUGUCAGUCCUAGUUUGUUUUGUCACUGUAUAAUUGUCAGUCCUAGUUUGUUUUGUCACUGUAUAAUUGUCAGUCCCAGCCAGGCGCCUCCUCCAUGUAAAGAUAUCGGCAGCUUCAAGCCUUGCCGAUAUCUCAAUCCGUACAUGAAUGUGAAUUAACCGAAAUUCUAGUUAAUGUCUGCAUGGUGCUCUCUCUCAUAAUGCUGCUUUAAAUUUUCAAUCUCACUCACAAUCCGGGGUUAGUAAUAUAUUUUGUUGCCAUGAGUUAACUCCCCGUGAUGGCCAGUUUCAUGCACUAUACAAAAGUAAUUUUACUUUCGCAUAGCUAUAAUUCUGCACCCAUGUUUAAGCGCCAAUUUCACAGUUCUCCAUGACGGGUUAGUAAGCUCCCAAACCAGUACCAGAGCCUUCAAAAUUUCCCUGUAUAGUGUCUGGUGUUUAUAUUCAAGUUCACAAAUUUGACGAAACUAUACAGGAAAGGUUUUAUAUAUUCAUGAUAUGAAGGAAAGGGAAGAGAAGGAGAUGAGAUUGAGAGACGAGUGAGCCGAGAUCCUGCUUAUAUUCAAGUUCACAAAUUUGACGAGACUACAGGAAAAGCUCUGUGUUUAUGAUAUGAAGGAAAGGGAAGAGAAGGGAGAUGAGAUUGAGAGAUGAGAUCCUGUUUAUAAUCAAGUUCACAAAUUUGACAAAACUAUUCAGGAAAGGUCUUGUGUGUUUAUGCUACGAAGGAAAGGGAAGAGAAGGGAGAUGAGUGAGCUGAGAUCCUGUUUAUAUUCAAGUCCACAAAUUUGAUGACACAAUACAGGAAAAGCUCUGUGUAUUUAGUGUGUCAUCGAAGACCGCGCCAUUUUGAACAGUAUGGGAUUCUAUAGCUUGGUUCGGGAGUGUUACAAAGACUGUGAUGGACUGUGGAAGCGGCCCUUAAUGUUCCCUUUUCUAAUAUGCCUCUCUGUUUUUCCAGGAUGCCGCGGACGGACCAUGCAGAGGACUCAUCGCGACGACACCGACGGUUUGGUUAAGUGGGCUCUCUUGUGUGUGCGUCUGUGUGUGAAUGGCAGGCCUGUCGUAUGAUUGUGUGUGUGUGUGCGUUGGCGGUAUGCCUUCGCACUGUUAUUUUGUUAGGAUGUAUUUUUUUGUGUGUGAACUUUUUGCACGUAAUCUUUUUUUAUACCCAUAGCUAGCGUUUGUUUGUGUGGCAGUGUUCCGGGAGAUGGACGCCAGGGGACAUGGGCUUGGGGAGGCGCACAUGACCUCCUCUGUCCGUGAUCUCUUCAGCUGGGGAGACCGCGUGUUGUCCCAGCUGGAGAGACACGUCGAUGGAGGCGGUUGCGUGUGUCGUCCCUUGCCUGUAUCCUCUGGCGUCCAGAGGCGCGUAAGUGGAGAGCAUCGGCGCAGCGCGGGAGCAGCACGUCAGGGUGUAGGGUGUUUGUUUAGCUGGUGUAGGGAGCUUAGGGUGUUAGGGUGUUAGGUGUAACACCGGUUGGCUCUUUCACAGAACGGGUGUAAUUCCGUUCUGCGUUUGAGUCUUCCACCUUCAGGCGGUCUCCCUCCGAGAUGUCUGAAGUUUUUUUGUCGGUUUUCUCCGUAGGAGGAAGCCGACUCUAGCUACUCUGGUCUCUCUUCCGGGGGCCAGAGCGGUCGGGCUCUGCUUGGCCAGGCGUUGCCUUUCGCGUUGUCUCCGCCGAAGCUUUGCCAGACUCUUCCGUAAGGUUGAGCCUGGCUUUUUUAUUAGGUGGAUCAGGCUGCCUUCUUCCAAGGAGUCUGAUGGGAGUGGAGUCUUUUUUUUGGUGUAUGUC